CGCAAGGCAGGGUUUUUGUAGCGCGAGCUAAGCAGCGGGGGGCAGCAGGAAGCGGGUCUGUGCAUCGGCGGGAGUGGCAGCAGGGAAAAUGGGCCGGCCUUACUGUCGUGACAAACUGUCUUUUUUCAACGGGGCUAAAUGAAGAAGGUGCUGGAUGGAGAGAGCAGCAGGUUUAAUUGAGCAGUUUGAGGGAGGUCUACUGCUAAGAGAGCACUAGUGAUUCCAGGAUGGCUUCCCUCAGCAGGUCUCCACUGCCCUGGUGUGGAGCUCGCUAGCUCUCCAGUUUCACUGCUAUUCUCCAUCUAUAAUGCAUUCUUGCAUGAGACAUCAAGCAGAAAAUGGACAGUGCAAACAGGCAGACAUCCACUUUUUCUAACAGUCCAAGGUUCUAACAGCUCCUCCCCAAAUUACUGACUUCACCCUGUGAUGACACUUGGCAGAGGGCCUACCUCCAACAGAGAGGAUUCAGGACAUACUAAACAAUAUCUGCACCAACCAACAGAGGUUGCUACAAUAUCAUUAUUAUUCUAGCCACUUGUGUCAUUGUCUUGUAAUACUGAUUUGAGCUUGAGCCAUCUGUGUUGUGAAUGCAUAGCUAGCAACGUUAUUGGUGAGCAGACGAGUGUCUACAGAGAACACAUUUCUACUGGCAAUGGCAGAAACCAGAAAUGACUAGAGAAAAUGAAUGUGCAUUUUUCUCCAUCUUGUCUGAUGAAGCUGUCACAGUCCAGCCCUGUCUUUGUGAUUCACCAGGAUUACAAGCAGAAAGCCUGUGAAUAAACAGAAUGGUCACUGCAAA